rnacentral:lncRNA from 1 species
ACCCAACUCAUGUUCUCUGCAGAGUACACCUGGCUUUACUUGUGGCCAUUCCCAACUGAAGGAGGCAAAGCCGCCAGUGCCCUCAACUCCAGGCGUGGAAAUCUCAAGAUGUCCCUCGUGCCAUACUCUACUGAUGGAAGCUGCUGCCCACGGACAGGUCGUGCCUUGGUGGGAAGAAACAGAGGGGUUGCCCCUGUGACCAGCCAACCCCAGCUUUAACAGAGUGGCACCCAGGAACCCCUGCAAACAGUGCACAGCUCUCGCCAGGCUCUAGUUCGCUCCAUCUCUGUGCCAGACUGGGCUGGUAGGCACCCCACCUUGGGUUUCCCACCUUCCAGGGAGGACAGCACAGUGCAAGCAGGGGGUGCAGGAGGCAUGGGCCUGGGUGCAGGAGGUGUGGGCCUGGGUGCAGGUGGAGUGGGCAUGGGGUGCAGGAGGUCUGGGCCUGGGUGCAGGAGGUUGGGCCUGGGUGCAGGAGGUAUGAACCUGGGCUGCAGGAGGAGUGGGCAUGAGGGGCACAGAAGGAGUGGGCAUGGGGGGUGCAGGAGUGGGCAUGUGGGGUGCAGGAGCGGCUGUGGGGUGCAGGAGGAGUGGGCAUGGGUGCAGGUGUGGGCAUGGGUGCAGGAGAUGUGGGCAUGGGUGCAGGAAGAGUGGGCAUGGGUGCAGGAGGAGUGGGCAUGGGGUGCAGGAGUGGGCAUGGGGUGCAGGAGGUGUGGGCAUGGGUGCGGGAGGAGUGGGCAUGGGGUGCAGGAGGUAUGGGCAUGGGUGCAGGAGGUGUAGGCAUGGGUGCAGGAGGUGUGGGCAUGGGUGCAGGAGGUGUGGGCAUGGGUGCAGGAGAAGUGGGCAUGGGUGCAGGAGGUGUGGGCAUGGGUGCAGGAGUGGGCAUGGGUGCAGGUGUGGGCAUGGGUGCAGGAGGUGUGGGUAUGGGUGCAGGAGUGGGCAUGGGGUGCAGGAGGAGUGGGUAUGGGGUACAGGAGGAGUGGGCAUGGGGUACAGGAGGAGUGGGCAUGGGUGUAGGAGGAAUGGGCAUGGGCGGGACUCUGAGG